UACGGAGGGAGCUAGCGUUGUUCGGAAUUACUGGGCGUAAAGCGCGCGUAGGCGGCUUUGUAAGUUAGAGGUGAAAGCCCGGGGCUCAACCCCGGAAUUGCCUUUAAGACUGCAUCGCUCGAAUCCGGGAGAGGUGAGUGGAAUUCCGAGUGUAGAGGUGAAAUUCGUAGAUAUUCGGAAGAACACCAGUGGCGAAGGCGGCUCACUGGACCGGUAUUGACGCUGAGGCGCGAAAGCUAGGGGAGCAAACGGG
rnacentral:rRNA from 1 species